GAUGAACGCUGGCUACAGGCUUAACACAUGCAAGUCGAGGGGCAGCAUGCCGGUUGCUUGCAACCGGUGAUGGCGACCGGCGCACGGGUGAGUAACGCGUAUCCAACCUUCCCGCGACCAAGGGAUAACCUGCCGAAAGGCAGACUAAUACCUUAUGUCCUCCUUUGAAGGCAUCUGACGAGGAGCAAAGAUCCGUCGGUCACGGAUGGGGAUGCGUCCGAUUAGCUUGUUGGCGGGGCAACGGCCCACCAAGGCAUCGAUCGGUAGGGGUUCUGAGAGGAAGGCCCCCCACACUGGAACUGAGACACGGUCCAGACUCCUACGGGAGGCAGCAGUGAGGAAUAUUGGUCAAUGGGCGGAAGCCUGAACCAGCCAAGUAGCGUGCAGGAUGACGGCCCUACGGGUUGUAAACUGCUUUUAUGCGGGGAUAAGGUUGCCCACGUGUGGGUUUUUGCAGGUACCGCAUGAAUAAGGCAAAGGG
rnacentral:rRNA from 1 species